CACGUAGGGUGCGAGCGUUGUCCGGAAUUAUUGGGCGUAAAGAGCUCGUAGGCGGUCUGUCGCGUCGGCUGUGAAAUCCCGAGGCUCAACCUCGGGUCUGCAGUCGAUACGGGCAAACUUGAGUGUUGCAGGGGAGACUGGAAUUCCUGGUGUAGCGGUGAAAUGCGCAGAUAUCAGGAGGAACACCGGUGGCGAAGGCGGGUCUCUGGGCAACAACUGACGCUGAGGAGCGAAAGCGUGGGGAGCGAUCCGG
rnacentral:rRNA from 1 species